GUCCACGCCGUAAACGAUGUCUACUAGCCGUUGGGAGCCUUGAGCUCUUAGUGGCGCAGCUAACGCACUAAGUAGACCGCCUGGGGAGUACGGUCGCAAGAUUAAAACUCAAAUGAAUUGACGGGGCCCGCACAAGCGGUGGAGCAUGUGGUUUAAUUCGACGCAACGCGAAGAACCUUACCAGGUCUUGACAUCUAGAGAGCUUUCCAGAGAUGGAUUGGUGCCUUCGGGAACUCUAAGACAGGUGCUGCAUGGCUGUCGU
rnacentral:rRNA from 1 species